UCUCGGCCCGUAUACAUAAGA
rnacentral:miRNA from 1 species